rnacentral:rRNA from 1 species
UACGGGGGGAGCAAGCGUUGUUCGGAUUUACUGGGCGUAAAGGGCGCGUAGGCGGCCACCGCAAGUCGACUGUGAAAUCUCCGGGCUUAACCCGGAAAGGUCAGCCGAUACUGCGGGGCUAGAGUGCAGAAGGGGCAACUGGAAUUCUCGGUGUAGCGGUGAAAUGCGUAGAUAUCGAGAGGAACACCUGCGGCGAAGGCGGGUUGCUGGGCUGACACUGACGCUGAGGAGCGAAAGCGUGGGGAGCGAACAGG